rnacentral:pre_miRNA from 1 species
CUCCUACUCUGCGUGUUCGCGGCGGACCUUGAUUUAAUUUCAUUCAAUUAAGGCACGCGGUGAAUGCUAAGAGCAGAGCU